rnacentral:rRNA from 1 species
AGAGUUUGAUCCUGGCUCAGGAUGAACGCUGGCGGCGUGCUUAACACAUGCAAGUCGAACGAACCUUCGGGUUAGUGGCGGACGGGUGAGUAACGCGUGAGAAUCUGCCCUCAGGAGGGGGAUAACGGCUGGAAACGGCCGCUAAUACCCCAUAUGCCGCGAGGUGAAAUGAAUUUCGCCUGAGGAUGAGCUCGCGUCUGAUUAGCUAGUUGGUGGGGUAAGAGCCUACCAAGGCAUCGAUCAGUAGCUGGUCUGAGAGGAUGAUCAGCCACACUGGGACUGAGACACGGCCCAGACUCCUACGGGAGGCAGCAGUGGGGAAUUUUCCGCAAUGGGCGCAAGCCUGACGGAGCAACGCCGCGUGAGGGAUGAAGGCCUCUGGGCUGUAAACCUCUUUUAUCAAGGAAGAAGAUCUGACGGUACUUGAUGAAUAAGCCACGGCUAAUUCCGUGCCAGCAGCCGCGGUAAUACGGGAGUGGCAAGCGUUAUCCGGAAUUAUUGGGCGUAAAGCUCCGCAGGCGGUCUUGUAAUCUGUCGUUAAAGCGUGGAGUUUACUCCAUUUGAGCGAUGAAACUGUAAGACUAGAGGUGGUAGGGCAGAGGGAAUUCCCGGUGUAGCGGUGAAUGCGUAGAUAUCGGGAAGAACACCAGUGGCGGAGGCGCUCUGCUGGGCCAUAACUGACGCUCAUGGACGAAAGCCAGGGGAGCGAAAGGGAUUAGAUACCCCUGUAGUUCUGGCCGUAAACGAUGAACACUAGGUGUCGGGGGAAUCGACCCCCCUCGGUGUCGUAGCCAACGCGUUAAGUGUUCCGCCUGGGGAGUACGCACGCAAGUGUGAAACUCAAAGGAAUUGACGGGGGCCCGCACAAGCGGUGGAGUAUGUGGUUUAAUUCGAUGCAACGCGAAGAACCUUACCAGGGUUUGACAUCCUGCGAAUCUCUUGGAAACGAGAGAGUGCCUUCGGGAACGCAGAGACAGGUGGUGCAUGGCUGUCGUCAGCUCGUGUCGUGAGAUGUUGGGUUAAGUCCCGCAACGAGCGCAACCCACGUCGUUAGUUGCCAGCAUUCAGUUGGGCACUCUAGCGAGACCGCCGGUGAUAAACCGGAGGAAGGUGUGGAUGACGUCAAGUCAUCAUGCCCCUUACAUCCUGGGCUACACACGUACUACAAUGCUACGGACAAAGGGCAGCAAACUCGCGAGAGCUAGCAAAUCCCAUAAACCGUGGCUCAGUUCAGAUCGUAGGCUGCAACUCGCCUACGUGAAGGAGGAAUCGCUAGUAAUCGCAGGUCAGCAUACUGCGGUGAAUACGUUCCCGGGCCUUGUACACACCGCCCGUCACACCAUGGAAGUUGGCCACGCCCGAAGUCGUUACUCCAACCCUUGUGGAGGAGGAUGCCGAAGGUGGGGCUGAUGACUGGGGUGAAGUCGUAACAAGGUAGCCGU